rnacentral:rRNA from 1 species
CAGCCCCUCGAGUGGUGGGGAUGAUUAUUGGGCCUAAAGCGUCCGUAGCCUGCCGUGUAAGUUUCCCGUUAAAUCCAGCGUCUUAAGCGUUGGACCGCGGGAAAUACUGUACGGCUAGAGAGUGGGAGAGGUCAGCGGUAUUCUGGGGGUAGGGGCGAAAUCCUUUGAUCCCCGGAGGACCACCAGUGGCGAAGGCUGCUGUCUAGAACACGUCUGACGGUCAGGGACGAAAGCUGGGGUAGCGAGCCGGAUUAGAUACCCGAGUAGUCC